AUGUGGUGGUCUGUACCUGCAGAGAAAGGCAGGAAUGCUUCUCUCUUCACAAACUUCCCUCCAGCAUCUAGGAAGUGUUCUGGAUUGAAGGUGUCUGGAGUCUCCCAUUCGUUCUUGUCAAACAGCACAGAGGUCAGGAAUGGCA